AGCAGCCGCGGUAAUUCCAGCUCCAAUAGCGUAUAUUAAAGUUGUUGCAGUUAAAAAGCUCGUAGUUGAAUUUCGGGAUCAGUUGGUCGGUCGUGCCUCGGUACGUACUGGUCAAAUUGAUUCCUACCUUCUGACGAACCACGAUGUCAUUAAUUUGGUGUCGCGGGAAAUCAGGACUGUUACUUUGAAAAAAUUGAGUGUUUAAAGCAGGCUCGCGCUUGAAUACAUUAGCAUGGAAUAGUGAAAUAGGACGUUUGAUUCUAUUUUGUUGGUUUCUAGGAUCGACGUAAUGAUUAAUAGGGAUAGUUGGGGGCAUUAGUAUUCAAUUGUCAGAGGUGAAAUUCUUGGAUUUAUUGAAGACUAACUACUGCGAAAGCAUUUGCCAAGGAUGUUUUCAUUAAUCAAGAACGAAAGUUAGGGAUCGAAGGCGAUCAGAUACCG
rnacentral:rRNA from 1 species